AGGAGAGGAAUUUAUGUAAAAAAUUAAAUGUCCGUUCUGUGCACCUUUUCCACGUCCUGAAUAAAUAAAGAACACAGAGAGCUGCGUAAUGAAUCUGGACUGGGUUUUAGAAAGGGUCGUACCCGGGGAUUGGGAAAAAUCUUAUGCAGACAUCCAGGUGGUUGAUUUAAAAGAAAAAGUUUUGAAAAUAAUUUACGUGGGGCAAAAGGAGAUAGGGCGAGUGUUGGGGAGAAGGGCCACGAUGGUCAGCACGAUGACCCUCACCAGAAGUGAAAUUUGGCCUCUCGCACACGUAAGACUCCUGCAUCAAAAUCCACCAGCUGCCUUCCAGUAGCCUACUGGAAAAUCAAUAUUUUAGUCCUGUGUGAUAUAGAUUAAGUUCUUGGGAAUUAGAACUGGGUAGGCCUAUAUUUUAUGUUUUCCCCCUUAGAGCAACUGUGGUAAUGGCUUUUGCAAAUCAGAGAAGGAGGCGUGAGGAUCUGGCGAAGUGGCGGGGCAUUCGAUUUCCGGCCCUUCCUCUGGGGAGACGGUGCCCGUUGGAUCCCACAGGCUCAUGCGCAGCCCCACGGGAGGGCCCCAGGGCUGUGUCACUGGGUACAAACUCGGCGCUCCUGGCAGAACUGUUACUAACCAGGACCGUCACUUGCUCUGCGGAAAGAAAGAAAAACAGUAGCGGAUGGGCAAUUUCAGCAUGGGGGUUCCCAGAGAAGCCGUAAUGAGCCCUGUGUUCUUUUUGUAGUUGUUUUGUCUUCUCCAGGAAUGACGGGAUGCAGGCUGAUGUCUGGACAGAAAUUCGCAGAACCCUUCGCAGCUGAGGGGGCGUUAAGCUCCAUAAGGUCUGACCCAAGACCGUCCAGCCAGGUGUGUGUUAGGUAAGUUCAGAAUCUUUUCGAUUUGAGAAAGGCGCCAGGGUGCGUGCGUAUUUGGUACCCAGCAGCCUCUCGAGGAGUCAGGCCAGUGCUCCAGAAUCAAUUGUGUGAGUCAAAUGCAGGAAUCUUCCGUCUAAAUGGGAUAAAUAGGUCAGCCCGUGGAGGGGAGGUCAGAUUUUGCGGCCAAAGGAGCUAUGAGUCUUUGCAGUGUUCAAACACUUCUGGAUUGUGAUUGCACGUAAGGGGUUGUAGCCUGUACUCUUAGUAGAGAAACCCCUCCGACGCUGCUAAAGUGCCUUGGCCUUUCGACACUGCUAACCCCAAAGAACGCGGCAGGCUCCCCACAGAGGGGACAGCGCACCGCAGUGGAGCAAAGCUGCCCUGCGCGGGACGUUUUCCCUACCAGCCUACGUGCCGUCAUGCUAGCUGCACCCAAGUUACGGUGCAGGAGGAAGGCCUUUCUUCGUGGCGUGCGGAGGCGACCCUAAAGGGAUGUUUUCUGUAGUCUCCAGACACGGUAAGCUUGCUUCCACUGCUGCGUUGAUUUGUCCUUGGCCUGCCCUUCCCCAGGAGAGACACCUGCGCUCGUCCGUCCUCUGGCCGCGGGCAUUCAGGGCUUGAGAGUGCGGACACUCCUUUCUUCCAGGUUCCUGAGGCCGGUCAGCCCCGCGCUUGUAAGUGACACUGCCCGAGCCCCGGACAACACGAGGGUCACUAUCCCAUGUUUGCCAUCGACUUGUUUUAUGUUCCAUCCUGCCUGAGGCACAGUUUCCCAUGGGUCUUCUGCUCUUUCCCUAGCAGUGUGCCCCCAAGGUCUGGUUCCUGUGGCCUCACAUAGGUCGCAUCGCCACUCUGGGCACGGCUUUCUCAUCCAUGAGCCCCCUCUGAGCUGUAGUGGCUUUUGGCUACUUUUCCACUCCAGAGAAAAAGGAAACGACGUGCGAAACCAGUGUGAGAUCUUAAGAAGCCUUCCGAGGACGGUGGGGGAGAUGGCGUGCCUGGGACCGAGCCCUCCAGCCCCACCUCGCACGUCCCCGCCCCGGCUUGCAUGUGCGGGCUCUGCUCUCAGGUGACCUGUGCACUGACCCCGACCGCAAGCGCCCUGAGACGCCUUCUUUGCUCUCCUGGCGGCGUCCGCCCCCGCCCGGUCCCGCCCAGCGCCGACCACUUCUUCCCUUUCCCAGCAAGCCAGCCGUGUGAACUCCAAGGGGAGAAGAGGGGAAAUAGAGUGCCUGUUAUUUCAUCCAGCAGAAAAAAGAAAGUCCUCGGAGGCACGGUUUAUCCACAUCUACAAUUAGCUACGUGGGAAGUCUACCUGACCUAAGCAAAGACAGACUUGAUGCCAAAGGAGGAAAUGUUGUGAAUGCAGCUCAUAAUGAUGAUGGAUUACAACGUGAGGAAUCGUGGCCAGCGAGUUGGCCAAAUUACCCGAGCCUGCCGUGGUGCUGACUUGGGUCUGAAUUACGGAGAAGAUGAAUUUUGGAAUCUUUUCUGCUCCUAGGACAAUGAAUAAGCUUUGUUAGUAGACUAUAGAAACAUUGUAGGAAACAGUGGUUGUGUAGAAUUAGAAAUAUAGCAAAGUGGGGGCUGGCGAGAUUUGGGCUGGCGUCCGAGAGACCAGACGCACGCACAGACACAGGAGGGAGGUGGGGGAGGCAGGCGGCCCUUGUGGGGCCCUUCCCGCAGACUCUGCCAGGCACUCAGCCCCCCGUCCUCCGUGCCAGCAUCCUUGACCUCUGCCUGAGGGGAUGCCUGGCCCUGCAGAGACCACAGACUACCAUCGGCUCAGCUCUCAGGGACACCAGACGACUCUGUUUUCCCUCCCGGAUAAUAGCCUUUUUCAUGACGCUCCUUGCACCUUUAAACCCGGUCAAUCUGCUGAAGACUGUGCGUCCCUUACAACCGCUCUUUCAACAAACAACUGCUUACACAGAGACAGUCGGACGCCCUGAAGUGCACCUUCGAAUAUUUGAGCUGCGUCCAUCUUGUCUCUGACCACCUUGCCAUGGAGGCCUCCCUUCUACGUGUGCCCUACAUCAGCUCCCCUCACUCCUGGGGGUCCUUCCACAAGCUGUCCUCUCCAACUGUGCUUCUGUUUUGUCUCCCUUCGAUGGCUCCUUCCUCUCGCCAUUUUCUCAAAUUCUUUCCUCCUAUCAAACCCCGUGUUGGCCACACUUUUGCCCUGUUCUCUCCCCUCAUUCCUCAACUCACUGCCUAUGGGCCCUCGCCACCCCCGCCCCAACCCCAAACCAUACGGGACAUGACUUUCCAAUGACUCUUUCCCAACAGGACAUCUCUGAAGAGCCUGCUGCUGUUGACCGCCUCAGGUGGGCUUCCUGGGGAUCUAGCCAGUGUUUACCCAACGUGAUCUACGUGCCAGGCAUUGGGCUAGGUCCAGAAAACAAGAGCAAGAAACUCACAGUCCAUCCUCAAGCGGUUUAUUGUUUAGCAGCUGGAUUCUGACAACAAGUCGAGAAAUCAUAAUACAGUCUCAUGGGGCUGUGCUGGUGGCGACGACCGCGCGUGACAGAAGAGCCAUUCAUCAUGGGGACUGUGCUGAGCGUGGCUCCCCCUCGCUUGGGUCUUCACUGAUUUCUUUCAACUAUGUUUUAAAGUUGUUCAGUUCGUGGGUCCUGUAUAUGUUUUGUUAAGUUUAUAUCUAUGCAUUUCAUUUUUUUUGGAUUGAUUGUGAAUGGUAUUGUGUUUCCGACUUUGAUUUCCCCUAACUGUGAAUAUAUCCAAAUGUAAUGAACUUCCCUGUGUUGAUCUUCUUCCUGCAAACUUGCUGAAUUCAACUUUUACAAUAUUUCCUAUGGAUUCUUUGGG